UAAUGCGUGACCAACCUCGCCCCAUGCUCCAGAAUAGCUCUUGGAAACGGGUGGUAAUGCUGGAUGCUCCAACUUGACGCAUGUCUUGUUGGGAAAGUGUUUAGUGGCAUGGGAUGGGGUCGCGUCCUAUCAGCUUGUAGGCGGGGUAAUGGCCCACCUAGGCUUCGACGGGUAGCCGGCCUGAGAGGGCGGACGGCCACAUUGGGACUGAGAUACGGCCCAGACUCCUACGGGAGGCAGCAGAG
rnacentral:rRNA from 1 species